AUGCGAUCCUUCUCAUUUUCAUCAAUCCCCAACUUGGAAGAUCUCAGCAUCUCCUCAUUUUCCACAAGUCCUAGUGGUGAGAGCCGAAGUUAUGGUACUGGAUAUAGCAGAGGUCCUGUGUGCAUGGAGAAAGUGCACAUGCAUCUGAUUGACCCUGAAGCUUCAAUCUUGCUAAAGGAGAUUGCUGAGCUUAUGAUCCUUGCUGGCCAUGCACCAAACAUAUGUCGUGAUUACGGAGAAACACGCCACCACAUGUUAAUGCAAUUCCUUUCUCUGCUCGGUGUUCAGAUUGAGCAAAAAAGCCACAACAACCCAGCAGCAGCAACUGCUAACGGCGCAUGCAGCAUGCAGCUAUAUGAGAAGAAUCAGAAAAUGUGGAUCCAAGCACUCAGAGUCGUUGUCAGCAUAGUCCUCCCUGAAGAACGCGACGCUUGCGCUCAGAUUUUCGGGUGUGAUCAUAAGGUGGAGGAGGAUUGUUUUGCCAGAGCCACCACACGGUGUACUGGAGAAUUGCUCGCAGUUGGAAGUAUGAUGGCCAGUGUCAAAGUGAAUGACCAGCAGUAUCAUAAAGUUCCCCUACUUCUACAGAUGCAUGAAGAAUUUACAAAGCUUGAACCGAGUAUAAGUGGCCUCUUGUCUGGUGAUGCCAAGGGUGUGAUUAGUGAGCAGGCCAGUAUGCUUCUCGGUAAGCUUGGGGAAACCGCAUCGAAUCUCCUUCUGGAGUUCCUGAAUGUAUGUUCCAACCUUGAACCAUGCCAAAAUACAAUGCUUGAUGGAGAUAUCCUGCCAUUGACACGACAUGUCAUGGGUUUUGUCGAACAACUUAAUGAGUACAGUGACACGAUCAAUCUUAUAUUAUUACUCGUUGUGGAUGAGGAGGAGGAGGACAAAGAGAUAACUAAGAGUCCUUGGGAACGCUAUAUGCUCAUGCUGCUCGCACGUUUGCAGGUGAAGGUUGAGGAGAAAGCUGAAUCUUACAAGGAUGAGCGCCUGAGGUACAUUUUCCUGAUGAAUAAUGCAAUGCAUGUGCUUAAAGGCUCAGGGUCUUCCGAUCUGAGUAUGUCCGUGUGGGACGAUUGGAACCGCCAACAGCUUGUCGUACGGGUGGAACGGUAUGCGACAGCUUACCUUCGAGCAUCAUGGACUGGAGCUCUGUUUCAGUUGAGUGAUCAAGUUGUGCCGAGCGACCAUAUGAGAUACGAAACCAACUGGGUGAAAAAAGAACUUUAA
rnacentral:rRNA from 1 species